UGUAAGGAAAGGCUGUCAAUGUAUUAAUGGCAUUUUUAAUUGCACUUUAUAUUUGACAUAAGAACAGUUGUCUCCUUUUUCUUGUUCAAUGCUUUAUACCCAACCUCUGAAAUAUGGACAGGACUGUAGAUUGCUGUCUUGUAUAUACUUAUACUUGUCUGGCUGAGUGAUCCCUGACUUUUCAAUGUCCUCCCCUUGAUUGUGGAUAGGACCUAUGACUUGCUUCUAAUCAACAGAAGAUGGCAAAAGUGAUGAAACAUUAUUUCCAUGAUUAUAUUGCAGGUUGUUACUUUCAUUAUACUAGCCAACUCUUACCUAUUGACUCUCCCAUGCUGGCUAUCGUGAAAGAAGCUGCCAUAUGAAGAGAUCCACAUGAUGCCACCACUGCUUGGAGCUGCAUGCCACCAGCUAUGGUCAAUCCCACUGUGUUUAACAUCGUGGCCUGUGCUCCAAUGGAUCUAUUUCUUCAUUAACAUUAGUGGUAAAAACUCAGUAGAUGCCAAGAAUUUCCUACCUGGAGUCCUAUGGAUCAUGAAGAAUUCAUGCGUACUCUUUUUUGGAAGUGGCGAUGCAGCAUUCAGGUGGGCUCAGCUAGCAUGAACAGGAGAACUAUAGACCCAGCUUCAUCUCAGCCCACUCAGUUUUAUAGAGAAAACCUUCAGCAACACUUGUGGCAUUAUCUGCAGCCCUGGGUCAAUCAACUUUUAUUUCUUAGUAAAGUCAUUUCCACAUUACAAAAAAAUUAAACUGUGAUCCUCUCUUGUCUAAGAACUAAUGCUCAUUUUCUUGUUUUAAGAGAGAAAUUACAAAAGCUGUUUUUAUUGUAAAUGAAACUCACAGGGAUCCAUUUUACCAUCUCAUCAUAACUCUAGAAAUUAACACUUGCUUGGCACCUCAAAGUCUUAAGAAUAAAGCACUGUUUACAAAUAACGUGUCCUGCA
rnacentral:lncRNA from 13 species